UUAAGUUAAUAAGGGCGCACGGUGGAUGCCUUGGCACUAGGAGCCGAAGAAGGACGUGACGAACGACGAAAUGCUUUGGGGAGCUGUAAGUAAGCUGUGAUCCAGAGAUGUCCGAAUGGGGGAACCCACUAGCUGAUGGCUAGUAUCCAUGACUGUUAAGGUCAUGUGAAGGAAGACGCAGUGAACUGAAACAUCUAAGUAGCUGCAGGAAGAGAAAGCAAAAGCGAUUGCCUUAGUAGCGGCGAGCGAAACGGCAAGAGGGCAAACCGAAGAGUUUACUCUUCGGGGUUGUAGGACUGCAACGUGGACUUAAAGAUUAUAGAAGAACUACCUGGGAAGGUAGGCCAAAGAGAGUAAUAGCCUCGUAUUCGAAAUAGUCUUUAUACCUAGCAGUAUCCUGAGUACGGCGAGACACGAGAAAUCUCGUCGGAAUCUGGGAGGACCAUCUCCCAACCCUAAAUACUCUCUAGUGACCGAUAGUGAACCAGUACCGUGAGGGAAAGGUGAAAAGCACCCCGGGAGGGGAGUGAAAUAGAACCUGAAACCGUGUGCCUACAACAAGUUCGAGCCCGUUAAUGGGUGAGAGCGUGCCUUUUGUAGAAUGAACCGGCGAGUUACGAUAUGAUGCGAGGUUAAGUUGAAGAGACGGAGCCGUAGGGAAACCGAGUCUGAAUAGGGCGCAAUAGUAUCAUGACGUAGACCCGAAACCAUGUGACCUACCCAUGAGCAGGUUGAAGGUGCGGUAAGACGCACUGGAGGACCGAACCAGGGCACGUUGAAAAGUGCUUGGAUGACUUGUGGGUAGCGGAGAAAUUCCAAACGAACUUGGAGAUAGCUGGUUCUCUCCGAAAUAGCUUUAGGGCUAGCGUCGACAUCAAGAUUCUUGGAGGUAGAGCACUGUUUGGGUGAGGGGUCCAUCCCGGAUUACCAAUCUCAGAUAAACUCCGAAUGCCAAUGAAUUAUGGUCGGCAGUCAGACUGCGAGUGCUAAGAUCCGUAGUCGAAAGGGAAACAGCCCAGACCACCAGCUAAGGUCCCAAAAUAAUUGUUAAGUGGAAAAGGAUGUGGGGUUGCACAGACAACUAGGAUGUUAGCUUGGAAGCAGCUAUUCAUUCAAAGAGUGCGUAAUAGCUCACUAGUCGAGUGACCCUGCGCCGAAAAUGUACCGGGGCUAAAACAUAUUACCGAAGCUGUGGAUACCUUUAUAGGUAUGGUAGGAGAGCGUUCUAUGUGCGAAGAAGGUGUACCGUGAGGAGUGCUGGAGCGCAUAGAAGUGAGAAUGCCGGUAUGAGUAGCGAAAGACAGGUGAGAAUCCUGUCCACCGUAAGACUAAGGUUUCCAGGGGAAGGCUCGUCCGCCCUGGGUUAGUCGGGACCUAAGGAGAGACCGAAAGGUGUAUCCGAUGGACAACAGGUUGAUAUUCCUGUACUAGAGUAUGUAGUGAUGGAGGGACGCAGUAGGCUAACUAAAGCAGACGACUGGAAGAGUCUGUCUAAGCAGUGAGGUGUGAUAUGAGUCAAAUGCUUAUAUCUUUAACAUUGAGCUGUGAUGGGGAGCGAAGUUUAGUAGCGAAGUUAGUGAUGUCACACUGCCGAGAAAAGCUUCUAGCGUUAAUUAUACUCUACCCGUACCGCAAACCGACACAGGUAGUCGAGGCGAGUAGCCUCAGGUGAGCGAGAGAACUCUCGUUAAGGAACUCGGCAAAAUGACCCCGUAACUUCGGGAGAAGGGGUGCUGGCUUUCAGUCAGCCGCAGUGAAUAGGCCCAAGCAACUGUUUAUCAAAAACACAGCUCUCUGCUAAAUCGUAAGAUGAUGUAUAGGGGGUGACGCCUGCCCGGUGCUGGAAGGUUAAGAGGAGUGCUUAGCGUAAGCGAAGGCAUGAAUUGAAGCCCCAGUAAACGGCGGCCGUAACUAUAACGGUCCUAAGGUAGCGAAAUUCCUUGUCGGGUAAGUUCCGACCCGCACGAAAGGCGUAAUGAUUUGGGCACUGUCUCAACAAUGCACCCGGUGAAAUUGAAAUACCAGUGAAGAUGCUGGUUACCCGCGCCAGGACGGAAAGACCCCAUGGAGCUUUACUCCAGCCUGAUACUGGGAUUCGGUAUUGCAUGUACAGGAUAGGUGGGAGGCUGAGAACUCAUGGCGCCAGCCGUGAGGGAGCCGGUGUUGGGAUACCACCCCUGCAGUACUGGGUUUCUAACCUGCGCCCGUGACCCGGGCGGGGGACAAUGUCAGGCGGGGAGUUUGACUGGGGCGGUCGCCUCCGAAAGGGUAUCGGAGGCGCUCAAAGGUUCCCUCAGAAUGGUUGGAAACCAUUUGAAGAGUGCAAAGGCAGAAGGGAGCUUGACUGCGACACCGACGGGUGGAGCAGGU
rnacentral:rRNA from 1 species